rnacentral:rRNA from 1 species
GAGGAAUAUUGGUCAAUGGGCGAGAGCCUGAACCAGCCAAAUCGCGUGAAGGAAGACUGCCUUAUGGGUUGUAAACUUCUUUUAUACAGGAAUAAAAAGAGUUACGUGUAACUUAUUGCAUGUACUGUAUGAAUAAGCAUCGGCUAACUCCGUGCCAGCAGCCGCGGUAAUACGGAGGAUGCGAGCGUUAUCCGGAUUUAUUGGGUUUAAAGGGUGCGCAGGCGGGAACUUAAGUCAGCGGUGAAAUCUCGACGCUUAACGUCGAAACUGCCGUUGAAACUGGGUUUCUUGAGUAUAGAUGAAGUAGGCGGAAUUCGUUGUGUAGCGGUGACAUGCUUAGAUAUAACGAGGAACUCCGAUUGCGUAGGCAGCUUACUAAGCUAUAACUGACGCUCAAGCACGAAAGCGUGGGGAUCAAAC